AAAGGAAUAGACGGGGGCCCGCACAAGCAGUGGAUUAUGUGGUUUAAUUCGAAGCAACGCGAAGAACCUUACCAGGGCUUGACAUACUCUGACAGCUCUAGAGAUAGAGUCUCCCUUCGGGGCAGAGAUACAGGUGGUGCAUGGUUGUCGUCAGCUCGUGUCGUGAGAUGUUUGGUUAAGUCCAAUAACGAGCGCAACCCCUGUUGCCAGUUGCCAUCAUUUAGUUGGGCACUCUGGCGAGACUGCCGCGGACAACGCGGAGGAAGGAGGGGACGACGUCAAAUCAUCAUGCCCCUUAUGUCCUGGGCUACACACGUAAUACAAUGGUAACGACAGAGGGCAGCUAACCCGCGAGGGCAUGCUAAUCCCUAAACGUUAUCUCAGUUCGGAUUGUAGGCUGAAACCCGCCUACAUGAAGUCGGAAUUGCUAGUAAUGGCAGGUCAGCAUACUGCCGUGAAUACGUUCCCGGGCCUUGUACACACCGCCCGU
rnacentral:rRNA from 1 species